rnacentral:miRNA from 1 species
UGGCCAAGGUCUCUUGAGGCU